rnacentral:rRNA from 1 species
UACGAAGGGGGCUAGCGUUGUUCGGAAUUACUGGGCGUAAAGGGUUUGUAGGCGGUUACACAAGUCAGUGGUGAAAGCCCGGGGCUUAACCCCGGAAUUGCCAUUGAAACUGUAUAGCUUGAGAGUGUUAGAGGAAAGUGGAAUUCCUAGUGUAGGAGUGAAAUCCGUAGAGAUUAGGAGGAAUAUCGAUGGCGAAGGCAGCUUUCUGGGACAUUUCUGACGCUGAGAAACGAAAGCGUGGGUAGCAAACAGG